rnacentral:rRNA from 1 species
CAGCAACGGAUCUCUUGGUUCUGGCAUCGAUGAAGAACGCAGCAAAAUGCGAUAAGUAAUGUGAAUUGCAGAAUUCAGUGAAUCAUCGAAUCUUUGAACGCACAUUGCGCCCGCCAGUAUUCUGGCGGGCAUGCCUGUCUGAGCGUCAUUUCAACCC